ACACCGAUUAGAUUCCUGUAGACACGKUUACAUGUCGAUUUGGAGGUUKUGCCUUGAGCGUGCUUCGGAGCUAACGGUUAAUUGACCGCUGGGGAGUACGGCCGCAAGGUAAAUCAAUGAUUGACGGGGCCGCMCAAGCGGUGAGCAUGUGGUUUAAUYGAUGCAACGSGAAGAACYUACUGUYUUGACAUCCACAGAACUUUCCAGAGAWGGAUUGKGCCUUCGGGAACUGUGAGACAGGUGCUGCAUGGCUGUCGUCAGCUCGUGUUGUGAAAUGUUGGGUUAAGUCCCGCAACGAGCGCAACCCUUAUCCUUUGUUGCCAGCGGUYMGGCCGGGAACUCAAAGGAGACUGCCAGUGAUAAACUGGAGGAAGGUGGGGAUGACGUCAAGUCAUCAUGGCCCUUACGACCAGGGCUACACACGUGCUACAAUGGCAUAUACAAAGAGAAGCGACCUCGCGAGAGCAAGCGGACCUCAUAAAGUAUGUCGUAGUCCGGAUUGGAGUCUGCAACUCGACUCCAUGAAGUCGGAAUCGCUAGUAAUCGUAGAUCAGAAUGCUACGGUGAAUACGUUCCCGGGCCUUGUACACACCGCCCGUCACACCAUGGGAGUGG
rnacentral:rRNA from 1 species